GACGAACGCUGGCGGCGUGCCUAAUACAUGCAAGUAGAACGCUGAAGAGAAGAACUUGCUCUUCUUGGAUGAGUUGCGAACGGGUGAGUAACGCGUAGGUAACCUGCCUGGUAGCGGGGGAUAACUAUUGGAAACGAUAGCUAAUACCGCAUAAAAUUGAUUAUUGCAUGAUAAUUAAUUGAAAGAUGCAAUUGCAUUACUACCAGAUGGACCUGCGUUGUAUUAGCUAGUUGGUGAGGUAACGGCUCACCAAGGCGACGAUACAUAGCCGACCUGAGAGGGUGAUCGGCCACACUGGGACUGAGACACGGCCCAGACUCCUACGGGAGGCAGCAGUAGGGAAUCUUCGGCAAUGGGGGGAACCCUGACCGAGCAACGCCGCGUGAGUGAAGAAGGUUUUCGGAUCGUAAAGCUCUGUUGUAAGAGAAGAACGGGUGUGAGAGUGGAAAGUUCACACUGAG
rnacentral:rRNA from 1 species